AGCUUUGCACAGUGGCAGUCUCAGCCAAUGAGGUUUAUCUGAGGCGCGAUUUUUGCUAAUUGAAAACUUUUAAAGUUGUCCAUGGUUAUUAUAUUGAUUCGAACGGCACCGAA
rnacentral:snRNA from 1 species